CAUCAUAACAGCAAAUACCAGUGCUGUAGAAAAGACAACUUCAGCUGACAGGAAACACAACAACUGGAUUACAUUUACAAGAGACACAACUCAACAUUGCAGGUUCAAGUCAUACCACCAGAAGAGUUGUAUUCUCCAGUCCAGUGUGAGACUGACCCUCAUGGUUUUAACGGAGUUGUGGUGUAUGGUGAUCAAACUUAUGACAUAACUUCUGGUCGAAUCAUACAACUGGAGGAGGUGUCUCUUUCAGCUGUGAACCACCAGCCUAGACAUCAGGUCCCAUCUGUGAAUAACCUAACUGGUGUGAGUGGAGCAGCAGUCGGCUCAGAGGAGACCCAUCAGCAAGAGGACAACCUAGUGUUUUAGCCCCAUGGAGACAACUUAGUCACUGUCCCUACUGCCUGAGGGAGACCAUACACACAGUGCCCAUCAGCUGGUGGAGUCGGCAUGGUCCAUGGGUGGUGAUGGCCCUCGCUGGUUUGAUGCUCUUGCUGUUGCUGGACAGAAUGCUUCUUUGAACAGGGAUGAGCAGUGUUUCAUUGCAUUUCAGUAUAAUUUAAAUAUGUAUUUAAU